rnacentral:lncRNA from 1 species
GGGUAUUAGGUUAGUAUUUUCGGCAUUAGGGACUUAGGAUGUGUCGCUUUCUUCUUUAGGAUUAGUCUUUUCUUUUUCUUUCUUCUUCUCUAGCCGAACCUACCACCCUUCCAUUCAUCAUUCCUUCCUUUCUUUUCUUAUUCCAAAACCAGCCCACUACUCCCUUCCAUUCAUCUACUACUUCUUUUCUUACCUCUACAUCUGCCGAAAAGCUGCAAAAGCCGAACCUGUGAAGCUUGGUGGUGCCGAUUCUUUAUUG